rnacentral:lncRNA from 1 species
GGCAGAGCUUGGAUAUGAACUGUUUACCUGGUUGCUGGGAACAGCAAUCACGUGAGGGCAUGUGUGUGUGUGUGUGUGUGUGUGUGUGUGUGUGUGUGUUCCACCUGUCCUCCCUUGCUCCUCCUGAGGUAGCUGGUCCUGUGCCCAACUUUGAUUCAUUUCUAGUGAAAAACAACCUGACCUGAAGAUAGGAAUUCACUCCAGCAAGAUCAUCAGGUAUGAUAAUGUGGACCUCUCAGAGUUCAUGUUAACUGGUGACUUAAUUGCACUCAAGAGUCCUUAUGUGUGAGAAGGUGUGAGCUUUGGAAGGAAGCAGUUACCUCUGGAGAUUUUCCAUGCAGACUGGAAUCCAGCUCAGGAUAGUGGGAGCUCACAGAACUGUUUGGAGAAUUUCAGAAAUGGAGACCCAGAGGAUGUCACUGUGUUAUUUUCAAGUCAUCCCACAGCAACUGAAAUCUGGACUCCAGGAAGUUGCUGACCUGAUUCCAUUACCACAAGGUCCUUUGGUAGCCAUGAAACUGAAGACUGGCUGGAUUUGGGAAUCUGGUUGCUAAAGUACCCCAUGAACAUCCACAUCUCUAAGCUAUUGAGGCUUAGUCAAGGGUAUUAACCUGGGGAAACCUAAUUUUCUUCUAGAAUCACACAUGUCAGGGUGUCUCAAAAA